GACGGUACCUAACGAAUAAGCAUCGGCUAACUCCGUGCCAGCAGCCGCGGUAAGACGGAGGAUGCAAGCGUUAUCCGGAAUUAUUGGGCGUAAAGCGUACGUAGGCGGUUUUGUAAGUCUGUUGUCAAAGCCCGAGGCUUAACCUUGGAAAGGCAAUGGAAACUGUAAGACUAGAGAGAGAUAGGGGCAGGAGGAAUUCCAGGUGUAGCGGUGAAAUGCGUAGAUAUCUGGAAGAACACCAGUGGCGAAAGCGUCCUGCUGGAUCUCAACUGACGCUGAAGUACGAAAGCUAGGGGAGCGAAUGGGAU
rnacentral:rRNA from 1 species